CCGACCUUAGCUCAAUUGGUAGAGUGGAGGACUGUAGUAUGAUACCUAAAUCCCUAGGUCACUGGUUAGAUUACGUUAGGUCGGA
rnacentral:tRNA from 11 species